rnacentral:rRNA from 1 species
CUACGGGAGGCAGCAGUGAGGAAUAUUGGACAAUGGGCGCAAGCCUGAUCCAGCCAUGCCGCGUGCAGGAUGACGGUCCUAUGGAUUGUAAACUGCUUUUGUACAGGAAGAAACAGUUCUACGUGUAGAACCUUGACGGUACUGUAAGAAUAAGGAUCGGCUAACUCCGUGCCAGCAG